UAGAUCUGAAGAGUCCAGCCUGUGCUCAGUCCCACCUCACAGGCAGAUAUGGGUAUUAAUGGCUGAUUACAAGGUGCAUGGAGGAGAAACAACUGACAAUCUGAAAACUGCCAGAAACACAUGUGCACAUGCUACCCUGUGGACAUGCAUUGAAAGAGAUGUCACAGCGAGGGGGCUGCACAUGGACCUGAGGCUCUGCAGCAGUGCCCGGGCAGUAAACUGGCAACUCCAGGACCAGUCAGACCAACAUCCUUUAGUCUUAGGACUUUAGGACUUGAACCACCCACCCCUUAGCCCAAGUCCCUGCAGACUGAGCUACCGUUGCACACAGCAUUUGGCCUAUAGAACCAGUGAAGUUUUCCCAGCUGACCGUUGAGUCGAUUCCUGGACUUAAUAAGUUAGAGCUUCUUGUUCUGGUUGAACAUGCGUGUCAGGUUGGCCGGGCGUGGCACUAAAGAAGCACACUAUGCAUCACAUAGUUUAGAUAAUCAGAGGUAAUGUUUGAAAGUCAAAUGAAUCCCCUCCUUUUUAUCUCGUGAGCUGAUGAAAACUGAACCAACCUCUGUUUGAAAAAGCUCAUGAGGUUCUCCUCCGGCUCUCUGCAUUGAAGUUUAUUAUGUGUUGAAUAUGUUUAAUACGAAACUGGAGUGUCUGGAACUCAUUUACACCUACCAGUGAAGAAUGAAGGGAAUUUAGUAUCAAACUAUCCGACUCUUUAACAUCCAGAUGGGAAACUCUUGAAGACAUAAGACUCAAUGAAAUGACAAUGUGAAGGAGGAGAGAGAGAGGAAGAGGAGGUUUAAAAUACAGGAAUGUAGUUGCCAGUCUUGGCACGGUGCCGCUGGACGAUGCACUCGGCGAGCCACGCGAUGUUCCUGCACUCAGCUCCUUCAGCUUGACGUAGGCGUAGAAAACUGACUGAUUACAAGCUGCAUGGAGGAGGAGAAACAACUGACAAUCUGAAAACUGUAAGCAGCACUUCUGUUGUAAAAACGAUAGAAGAGACCAAUGAGUGAACAUGACAGGCUGUUAUAUCCUGUGUUGUUUUCGCUUGGUGCUGUGCUGUACUGAGUUCUGAACAAAAAGAGAAUUAUAAAAUCAUCUGUGGUCUCGGCUCAGACAUGAGUUGAGUGUUGCAUUGCGGAGUUGUUUGAUGGGGGUCAUAGUGAGUUAACAUAUUUUAACAUGCCUGAUCCCUUUUCAUUUUGUAAUACCACAAAAUA